rnacentral:rRNA from 1 species
AUAUGGAGGAUGCGAGCGUUAUCCGGAUUUAUUGGGUUUAAAGGGAGCGUAGGUGGGAUAUUAAGUCAGCUGUGAAAGUUUGGGGCUCAACCUUAAAAUUGCAGUUGAUACUGGUUUCCUUGAGUACGGUACAGGUGGGCGGAAUUCGUGGUGUAGCGGUGAAAUGCUUAGAUAUCACGAAGAACUCCGAUCGCGAAGGCAGCUCACCGGGCCGGAACUGACACUGAUGCUUGAAAGUGCGGGUAUCAAACAGGAUUAGAUACCCUGGUAGUCCGCACAGUAAACGAUGAAUACUCGCUGUUUGCGAUACACGGUAAGCGGCCAAGCGAAAGCGUUAAGUAUUCCACCUGGGGAGUACGCCGGCAACGGUGAAACUUAAAGGAAUUGACGGGG